UGGGGAAUUUUGGACAAUGGGGGAAACCCUGAUCCAGCCAUCCCGCGUGUGCGAUGAAGGCUUUCGGGUUGUAAAGCACUUUUGGCAGGAAAGAAACGUCGUGGGUUAAUACCCCGCGAAACUGACGGUACCUGCAGAAUAAGCACCGGCUAACUACGUGCCAGCAGCCGCGGUAAUACGUAGGGUGCAAGCGUUAAUCGGAAUUACUGGGCGUAAAGCGUGCGCAGGCGGUUCGGAAAGAAAGAUGUGAAAUCCCAGAGCUUAACUUUGGAACUGCAUUUUUUAACUACCGGGCUAGAGUGUGUCAGAGGGGAGGUGGAAUUCCGCGUGUAGCAUGAAAUGCGUAGAUAUGCGGAGGAACACCGGAUGGCGAAGGCAGCCUCCUGGGAUAACACUGACGCUCAUGCACGAAAGCGUGGGGAGCAAACAGGAUUAGAUACCCUGGUAGUCCACGCCCUAAACGAUGUCAACUAGCUGUUGGGGUCUUCGGACCUUGGUAGCGCAGCUAACGCGUGAAGUUGACCGCCUGGGGAGUACGGUCGC
rnacentral:rRNA from 1 species